AACGAACGCUGGCGGCAGGCCUAACACAUGCAAGUCGAACGGUCUCUUCGGAGAUAGUGGCGAACGGGUGAGUAACACGUGGGAACAUGCCCUUGGGUACGGAACAACAGCUGGAAACGGCUGCUAAUACCGUAUGAUGACUUCGGUCCAAAGAUUUAUCGCCCAAGGAUUGGCCCGCGUUGGAUUAGAUAGUUGGUGGGGUAACGGCCUACCAAGUCUGCGAUCCAUAGCUGGUCUUAGAGGAUGAUCAGCCACACUGGGACUGAGACACGGCCCAG
rnacentral:rRNA from 1 species